rnacentral:lncRNA from 1 species
UUAGGAUUUGGAUUAGGAUUUGGAUUGGGAUUUAGGGUUUGGUUAGGGUUUGAUUUAGGGUUUGGAUUAGGGUUUGGAUUAGGAUUUAGGGUUUGGUUAGGAUUUGAUUUGGGGUUUAGAUUAGGAUUUGGUUAGGAUUUGAUUUAAGGUUUGGUUUAGGGUUUAGGGUUUGGAAUAGGGUUUAAUUUAAGAUUUGUUUAGGAUUUGACUUAGGAUUUAGGAAUUAUUAGGGUUUAAGAUUUAAUUAGGUUUGGUCUAAAGUUGAGUGAAAUUUAAUAGGAUUUUAACUAGAAUUAAAUUAAGGUUGAAUUGACAUAUAUUUGAAUAAAAUUUGUGAUCAUUCUAAUAUUUCUUUAAGAAUUUUAUUGUUUUUUUGAAAUUUCUUUGAGUUGUUUUGAAUUUGAUUAUGUUUGUUUACCAUUAUUAUAGUCUAAUUAGAGCAUUGUUAGUAUUCUA